ACACCCUUGACGUUGCGUGAACAGGUGCAUUCUGGGUGUGGCUACAUGCUAUCAUGCUAACAUGCUAACAUGCGAAAAUGCUUUAGAACAUGUGUCAGGUGGAUCUUUCAGUUGACUUUUACACGGUCACCGUCGAAAUUUUUACUUCUAGCAUUUGUAUGAGGACUUUUGCUGUUUUAGAGAAUGCAGUGCCUAAUUUGGCUGAACAUGUCGGAAAACUUUGAAGAGUGCAGAGGAGUUUUGCAGGACUUCACAGUGCUCAGGACAGGAACAAGGCCCUUCACACAGGAACCAUUCCAGCGAGCGUGGAGGUCGGAUAGCUGCCCUGGCCCGUGGGGGGAACGUGAGGGGGGUACCCAGGGAAGACGUCAGGGUACGAGGGGCGUUCAAAGACCCGGUCCAGCGCUUCCAGCUGCUGCUGGGUGAAGGCAUCUGCCCUAAGGUGUUUCCGUAAACUCUCCACACUACCCUGAGAAUCACUGUUUGGGCCAGAACCAUCUGAACCAUCUACAAGAAGAAAGAGCAACAAUCGAGAGACUGACCCCGGGAAGCUGGUCUUUUACUUCAAGCUAUGCACUUUAUAUUCUCCUCAUGUAUUUUCUGUACCACCUCUGUGGGGGAUCUGAGGAGGACAUAAAGGGAUGGAGUGCAGGUUUUUCCACUCCUUAAUGGCUGUAGUGAGCCACUGGCUACAUCACACAGGUUUUUUCCCCUGCCACGGUAGUGACACCAUCAUGAUCUGAAAGCCCUCUGGUAAUUGAUGGAUUACCAUCACUUGCAAAUACAUACAUGUUAUGGCAAGCAUGUAUACUAAUGAAAGCAGCAGCCAGCCCAUUAUAGGGUCUUUUUUUCCCCCUCCCUUUUUUCCUCCCCAGAACCCUUUUGGUGCUCACUGAAAUAAAGAGCAGGUUUUUUUUUUAAAGCACAAUUUCCCUUUCACAAUUCAAUACUGCUUUCUUUCUGUGCGGGUAUGGUGGUUCCAUUUAUAAACAGCGAUGAGGACAAGAGGCUGAAUAAAACCGUACAGUCUGGUUCAAUCAUCCCGCUCUCCAAACACAGGAAUUUUCUCCUGACUCCUGACCUGAUUACCCGACUGUUGGGAGAAGGAUGCCUUAGCUUUUCCUGUUGUCACUUGUGUGCAACGCUUUAAAGCCUUUACAGACCAUCCUAGCAUACCUCCCCCUUUUUUUCCCCCUCCCUUCAUCCCCCCCCACCUCCCCUGGCUGCAGUGUCUGUGUCUGUAGGUCUCCUCCCCAGAUCCCAGAAAGCUUCAGCUCCUUUACAAAUCUGUCAUUCUAAAUUUGCGGCAGAUUAUGUUCUCCCCUCAGUGGGAGAGUGGUGAUAUAUGAUAUGCAAGGCCCCUAUUGAUUGCCUGAUCUGGUGGCAAGAGGGAGCUGAAAUGAACUUGAAAUGAACAUCAUGCCUCAACUCAUUGUGCGUAUAAUACUCUACUUAAUCCCACAUUUUUCUCUGCCAUGGAAUUCAAUUGAUCAAUCAUGUCUGUGUGAUAGUACCAUUUGGGAGGGUUAUUGCCAUUCUAUUUCGCUGCUUGACCUUUUUUCACCGGCUGAGACCAGAGGAUGAACCCGACUAUCCCAUGAAGGAGCUAUAAAAGUGUGUGUGAGUGGGGGUGUGUGUGUCUGAGCAUGUGUGACCUGAAAUUGUGCUGAUAGCUGCGAAAAUGUCAAGCAAUAAAUAUCACGGGUUUGCUAACAGUA